UACGUAGGCAGCAAGCGUUGUUCGGAGUUACUGGGCGUAAAGGGUGUGUAGGCGGUUCUCUAAGUCUGGUGUGAAAUCUCCCGCUCAACUGGGAGGGUGCGCCGGAAACUGGAGAGCUAGAGUACUGGAUGGGAGAGUGGAAUUCCUGGUGUAGCGGUGAAAUGCGUAGAUAUCAGGAGGAACACCGGUGGCGAAGGCGGCGUUCUGGACUGCAACUGACACGAUGAACGAAAGCCAGGGGAGCAAACGGG
rnacentral:rRNA from 1 species